rnacentral:lncRNA from 10 species
GAAAAUGUCUCUUUUAAUAUACUUUACAGUAGUAAAACUAUAACAUCUCAAUUGUUUUUUUUAAAUAAAUUUGAAUAAUGGUUUAGGUCAUUUGAUAAAUAUCACCUUGUAACUAAUAAGAUGAAACAAGGCUAAAUAGGACCAAUUAAGCACGUGAUUUAAAUAUCGAUAUGUAGUGAGUAAAAGAGUAAUCCAACUACCAGUAGAAGAUUACUACAUUUAGUACUAUAACAAGUAUAACACUGUUCCUAAAAAAAAGUGCUUUCUUAUGUUUAAGAUUUAUUUUAAUGUCAAACACAAAUAAUUAGAUCUUUAAAUGAACAAUUUGGGAGUUAAAUCCAUUGCUUCUGAUUUUUAUAGAUUUUAUGGUCUAGGAAAUCUAUACUGUCUGAUUUGAUCCCAUUUAACUGUAAGAUUUUUACACAUGUUGCACUCUACUAGCUGGCAGGAAAAUUAUUUUAAUCGACUGAAUGAAAGUAUUAUUUCAUGUAAAAGUUUAUUAUAUCAAGGAAAUGAUUUAGGUCAGAAGCUAGAAUCUAUAUAAAGUCAGCUUUUGAAAAUAAAGACAGACAAAUCUUUUUUUACAUUAUUAUAAAAGAGCUAAGUUGCAAACAACUAUCCUUGAGACCAGACCAUUUUUUUUUAAGCUGAAAUUUUCUAAUAAUUGCAAUGGCAAAACACCAUUUGCAAUUUCUUCCCUCCCACCUCCCAGGUGGUUCAACAAUUCCACUUCCAAACAGCAUUUCCCAUCAGUUUUUAAAAGCUACUUACAAAGUGUUAUUCUACUACCACUUUUAAAUACAUCAAGCACUUCCAAAUAUCUAGAAAGACUAGAUAUUUCAUAUAACUUGUCCACCACAUACACAUCACUGUUAAAUAAAAUUGCACACACAUAACAAUGGUUAUCAUCUGAGGUAUCUUCUAAAUGUGGCCAUUUUGGCCUUGAAUCAUUCCCUCCUCCCUUCCUUCUCUGCCUUCAAUCCAGUGGACAAGUACAGGCACAUGUAAUGCUUAGAGAUGGUCGAACAAAUUCCUAUGCAAAAGUCUUUACAGAAGACAAGUUUUCCUAUGAAUUUUAACACAAAGCGUACAAAAUAUGCUAAUUUUACUACUUUGUCAUACACUGGCAACCUCUUUAACAACUAGAGACUAGAUGUUGAAAAAUUAGGACUAUUUGUCCAUUAUAUAUACUAUAUACAGAGCAAAACAAAAUGCACAAAACGUAUAGAAAAAUGGUGUCUGAAAAUGUCCAAGUAUGAACACACUAGUAUAUUACCUCUUGCAAUUUCUUCCCUCCUACCUCCUCUAAACCAUUGAACAAGUAUACACAUUACUAUACUGCUCACAAAGGUGGCUUCACAAUUCAAUUUCCAAAAGCAUUUCCUAUGAAUUUUAGCAAAAAGAUAUUUACAAAGUGGUAUUUUACUACCUAUACAUUUAACAUACAUCGGGCACUUCUAAACAUCUAGAUAGACUAGAUGUUUCAAGUAAGGAGUUAAUUUGUCUACUAUGUAUACAGCAGUCUUGAAUAAACUGCAAACAUGUAACAACAGUUAUAAUUUGAAAGAGUCUUCCAAAUGUGAACAUUCUGGCCUAGAACCCUUCCCAUCGCCAUCAACCCAGAAGACAUCAAAUUUUCAGAAGACAAUCUUUCCUAGGACUUGUAAAACAAAAUGUCUUCCAGCUCCAUGUCAUCUAACCCACUUAACAAACGUGAACGUAUCGCUUCCAGAGGCCGUCUUAACAAUUCCAUUUCCAAAAGUCAUCUCCAGAAGACAUGUAUUUUCUACGAUUUCUUUUAAACAAAUGAGAAUUUACAAGAUGUGUAACUUUCUAACUCUUUUAUCAUAACUCGACAACCUCUUUCCAUCUAGAAGGGCUAGAUGUGACAAAUGUUUUCUAUUAAAAGGUUGGGGUGGAGUUGAGAGCAGCUUUUUCAUAUUAUAUACACAGGCCUUCCAUAAACGGCCAGUAAAUCUUCCCAGAGGGUGGUGGGCAUUUCCAACUGGCCAAACGUGGCCUGUCAUUCUACCAUUUCUCUCUUCCGACAGCAAAGUCUGGUAGAAUGAAGACCAACCGCCCGAUGGCCGCUAACCGUUCCACCCGUCGUUGUUCGGGACUUCGCUCACCUUUCAGGCCCCUUAAGGCCUUUGUCCGUUGUCGUCAGGACUAGGGCAGAGGGCUCGGCCUGUCCCGAGGCCCCCCAGUUCAUCCGCCGGCCCGGGGCCAGAGGGCCCUGAAGGCGCGGGCUGCGUUCUGCGUCUCUCCGCGAUCUCUGCCGGACCGGAACUAAGACCAGACCAUUUUCUUCUGGAAGAUCCAGAAGGCUGGUAAUGCAUUGUUUCUGGGUGUGUUUAUGAGGAUGUUGCCAAAGGAGACUGACAUUUGAAUUGGUGGACUGGGAGAGGAAGACCCAACUUCAAUGUGGGUGGACAGCAUCCAAUCAUCUGCCAGCCCUGCUAGAACAAGCAGGUGGAGAGAGGUGGGAUCACUUUGCUUCACUAAGUCUUCUGGCUGUCUCUUUCUUCUUUCUGUGCCUGAUGUUUGCUUCUGCUUCUCUUGACCUUGGACAUCAGACUCCAGGUUCUUCGGCCUUUGGACUCUGGGAAGCACCAGUGGUUUCCCCAGGGCUCCCUGGUCUUCCACCGCAGACUGAAGGCUGAAAUGUCAGUUUCCCUAGUUUUUAGGCUUUCAGACUUGGUCUGAGACACUACUACUGGCUUUUCUGUUUCCUCAGCUUGCAGAUGGCCUACUGUGAGACUUUGCCUUGUAAUCAUGUGAGACAAUUCUCCCUAAUAAACCAUCUUUUGUAUAUA